CCCCGCCCCCUCACCUAUUCCUGCUUUCCCGGUGUCGACGUUUUCCGGAUACUGUCACUUGUCGGAGGCGGAACUUCUCGGAGUGCAAGUACUCGAAAGGCAUUACUGGGAAAGGAGUGAGUCUUUCAGGUUCAUCUUCUGCUGUUAGGAGCUGUGCCCUUCGACAAAAGUACUCCAAACUUUGCAUUGUUCUUGCUUAUGAUGAUGGUGAAGAUCACAUGAGAGCUAUAUCUGGUUAAUUUGAUUUCCACCAUAAGAACACAUUUCAGAUGAUAGUCUUUGUUUUGGGGUAAGAAUAGAGGAUGAAAGACUAAGCUUCGUAGUGUUAGGUUUUAUUAACUUAUGAGCCGGUCCUCUCUGCCUCGCAUUCCUUACUUCAAGACGGAAAUAGUUAAUAGUGCUUAUUUUUGGAGAUAUUUAGGGAUCUCGAAAGUCGACUUAGGACACCCCAAGACCAAGUUCUCAGCACAAAGAUUUAUUUGUUCCAGAGGACAAAUGGCAGGGAAUAAGAGACAAAGACAGGAGAUAGAUGACUAGGGAGAUGGAUGGGUAUUUGUAUCUGAGGCAUAAAGGACUGCUUCCGGAUAGGAAGGAGACUGGUUCAUAGGCAAAUGGCAUUUUAUAAAGGAAAAAAGAGAAAAUCCCGUGUUAGGAGUUGGUUUGUUUUGAUUGUAUAUGUUAAUUAGGUGAACUGAAGGGUUUUUUUUCAAAGGGCUGGACUUCAAUGCUAUGAUAGCUGGACUUUGGUGGUCAGACUCAGGAGAAAAUGGUCAAAUAAGAGAAUAGACUUUGGUGUGCAGCUUUGGGGAUGUAGUGUAAUGGUUUCUUUUCUUUCUUUAGCAAGAUUGAGUGUAUGGGGGAGAAGACAAGGCCUGCCAAAGCCAUGUUUGCUAUGCUUGGGCUAGCAAUAAAGCCCUUUGAUGAGUGGCACUAAAGAGAUACACAGAAUAAAUAGAAAUUUAUACAGAUGAAAAAGUUGCCACCUGCAGGGAAUGUGUUUAAACAAAUAUUCAGGGAGGACUGUCAGGUGGCUCUUAGGCUGAAGCUGGAUGAUCAAGAUAGUAAAUUGGACUAUCCUGAGAUCCUUUCCCAACCUGGUCCGAUGGGCAAGCAGACACACACAGACACACUGUGAGUUUUGUUUGUUUGUUUGGUUGGUUGGUUGGCUGGCUGGUUGUUUUGUUGUUGUUGUUAUUGUUGUUGUUGUUGUUGUUUUUAAAUGCUGGGACUAGACAGAUGGCUCACUCUUUAGAGGUCUGAACUUCUGUUGCCAGCACCCCCAUGGUGACUCAUGACAAGGUAUCUUCUGAGACUCCAAUCCCACAGAAUCCAGACCUUCUGACCUUAUAAGUUAGGCACUUGGAGUACAAACAUGCAUUCAUGGAAAAUAUUCAUAUACAUUUAAAAACAAUAAUAUCCAGGCAUGAAGGUUCCAGUGAGGUCAAGCCCAGCCUGGGGUUCUUAGUGGAUCUAGGCCAGCAGAAAAAGAGGGAGGGCAGGCUGAGAGGCUGACUAUAUGCAAGUCUCUGUAACAUUCAGUGUCCCAGUGGGGUCGUUUGUGAAAAAGACCUACUACUACCUUUUCAGAGCCUCUUGAGGAUUUCUCCACAACAAAGAUCUCCUUUGAAGCCACUAGACAUGUAGAAAGCACCCUUGAGGGAUGAGGAAUGGAAUGUAUUUGGAAGCCUCACUGAAUAUGAAACUAGUUCUGUGACAAUUACCAUCCUACCUGAAGUAAUCAUACCAAUGAGGGGCAGGGAAACUCCAGAUAACUGUACACCUUUGAGAGCUUAUACACAGGAAAGUGUGUAAUAUACUAUUACCUGGCCAAGAACAAGAAGAAUUGUAUUUGCUUGGGGAUAAUUAGGAUUGAUAUUAGGGAAAUAACAUUCAUGAUAUUUUGAAUAUCUGGAGCUUUAUAAGAUAGUGGCUGCAUUUAUAGUUUGAACCCCUAAAGGUUUUAACACACACACAUGCGCGCGCGCGCACACACACACACACACACACACACACAUUUUAUCUAGAAAGUGUUUCUCUGUGUAUCUCUGUCUGUCUUGGAACUCACUCUGUAGACCAGGUUGGCCUCAAACUCACAGAGAUCUACCUGCCUCUGUUUCCCAGGUACUGAGAUUAAAGUCAUGUACCACCACCACCUAUCUUAAAUUAUAUCUUUUAAUCAAGAAUUGUGGUUGAUGCUGGCAAAAAUUAAGACAUUUCUUUAAAAGGAGGUAUUGGGUGCUGUCUUUGUCUCUUGAGUAUUUGGGGGAAGAGGGCCUUUUGUAGGGCUCAAAAGAGGCUAACAGUCUUUGAAAAAUCAACUGAAUCUGAGGAAUGGCAUAACAUGCAGCCCACUUCAGAGUUUCAGCUGUGGCCUGUCUAAGAAACUUUUGACUCCAUUUUAAAGCCCCCAAACCAAUACUAUAUCCCAUUUUAUUUUUUCGACACCACAACUCCUACAAAUAUUAAAAAAUAAACAAUCACAAAUUCUUUUUAUUUUAUUAUUUUGAAACAGUGUCUCUAUAUGUAGCCCUGGCUGUCUUGGAGCUCUCUGUGUAGACCAGGCUGUCUUGAAUUCUCAGAGAUCCACUAGCCUCUGCCUCCUGAGUGGUGGGAUUAAAGGUGUACAUCACCACAUGUGGCACAUUAAAAAAAAUAUGUUAGGGAUUACAGUAAAAAGUCCAUGUAGGAGCUAGGCAGUGGUGGCGCAAAUAUUUAAUCUCAGCACUGAGAAGCAGAGGCAGAUGAAUUUCUCAGUUCAAGGCCAGCCUGAUCUAAAGAGUAAGUUUCAGAAUAUCUAAGGCUACACUGAGAAACCUUGUCUGAAAAGAAUCAAAACAACAAACAAAAAAAUCCAUUUAGGAGAACCUUUUCAUAUUAAAUCACACACACAUACACACACAUACACACACACACACACACACACACACACACACACACACACACACACACACACAAUGGAGCCCUGUUAUUGUUGCCCUGGCACAGUCUGUCAGAUAUUCCCAAACCGAACAUACUUUAAAAUAUAGGAAGUAUUUUCACCGGUAGCAAAAGAUGCACCUCACAGCUGCAAGCUGUAAUAGCUUUGAAUCCAGAGACCUCCACUCAGGUAAAGCCAGGGCCCUGCAUACUUGGUUGAAAACCCUAUCUGGCUGCUUCAAACAGGGCUUCACCAGUUGAUUUCUGCUGAAUAUUUUGAGUGUCAAAUUUGUAUUUUUCUGUUCUCUCUCCCUCUCCCUCUCAAUUUUUAUUUCUUCUUUUACUUUGGCUUGCUGUACUUAAUAAAGUCACACCUUCAAAACUAAACAUAUAACUAUCAUAGCUCAUACCAUAGGUAACAUGUCUGCUGUUGUGUCUGACUUUACAUGGGCUCUAUGGAUUUAAACUCAGAUCCUCAUAUUUAAGUGAAAAAUGUUCUACUCUUUGAGCCAUUUCCCCAGCUGAGACACUGGUUUUGACAGUAAACAUAGACUCAGUCAUAUUGGCAUCUAUGAAAGGACACAGAUGGGAUAAAGUGGUCUCCUGGCUUGCUGAAGGGGAGAGAGCCUGGCUAUUAGGAAUGUCUGGGAAGUGGAAACUGAGGCCAUGGGCUUUCAGAACCCAGUGACACUCUGAGUUAAUAUAAGCUACCCACUUUGCUUUACUUAGUUGUUCAUUGCCAUGUAUAGAGACUAUCCUAAACCCAGUGCUUGGGACCAUUUCCACCCUCUAUUGCUCACAGAGGGAUACACUCAGAAGGAUGACUUGUCUCUGUAACUUGAGGUUUCCUUUUUCCCUAGAGUGUCCAAUGGAGAGUGGCAUGUCCAAUAUGGCCUUCCAAGCUAGGAGUUGUGUUAUUGACUGGGCUGAGGUGCCAGUAUUCUCUAAGUAGCUUCUCCGUCUAUAGCGACUGUCCUUUUCCAGUGACCAGGCUGAGCUUCUCAUGGUAGGUAGUCUCCAAGAAGUUGGGGUGAGACCACGGUGCUUCUGGAGUGCUGAACCCAUAACUCAAAGCAUUCACCUAGAACCAAAGAAGCAGUAAAUAGAUCCCACCCUGUGCUCAGAGAUGUAUUCAAGUGAAAGAGCAAAGUAACCUUUGAAGGAGAAGAGGUCAGGUUUUCUGGGCACCCUCUACCCUAUGACCACCAACAAAGAUGGAAAUAUAUGGAUGAUUUACUCUGAUGUAGGAGUUGUUUCACACGCAUGCAUGACAUAUCCAUAUUUUAUAACCUAAUUUUACACACUCAUAAACACACUUGUUAGUUCUAUCUCAACUGUGAGUGGAAGCAGUGGCCUGGACAGAGAUGAAUGAUUCUUCAUAUACUAUGGCCUCACCUCUCAGCUCUUUGAACCAGAAACCCUCUUGAAUACCACCACCCCUUCCCCAUUGCAUACCUAACUUGACUACCUGAACCUAUCCCUGGUAGAUCAUGUACUUGGUGGCCACCCCGAACCCUGUUCUAGAGUCUCAUCUCUGAUCCCAAGGUCUGGCCUUUCCACCCUCUAGUGUGUUAUCUUGACCCUAACUAACCUCUCCAGUUCUGGGCAAGCCAGUCGUGGUUGAGGAGCUAUUCACAAACUGUAAGUGAGAUUUUCCUUGCUCCAUAUUUUAGCAGGUAAUCAGAGCAUCUAUUACACAUACCCACCAGGGUAACUUUUUUGCAUAGGCUCUAGUGUCUACAGAGUGGCAGGACAGAGACAUACCAGUCCUCUGACUGGAACUGAGGAUCAGUACAGGUGAGGAAGUGGCACCUGCCAAAUUUGCUCUGAAAAGGCACAGGGAGCACUUUUCUAAUUUUCCCCUAUCAUAGUUUAAAUGACUGGCAAAUGUGAACAAUACCCUUGUCCCUCAACUGAAAUAUAAUGAGAACCUUCAACUGUCCAGUAGACAUCCACGUAGAAAUCAUGUCCUGGUUCUUCCUUCCAGCCCCAUAUUCCCAGAAAUGAGACACACUCAAAAUAUAUGUACAAAUAAUUUGACCAUAUAGCUAGGGCUUUCUCUCAUUAGAUCAUAACUUAAAUUAUACCAUUUAUUUUAACCUACAUUCUGCCAUAUGACUGAUUGCCUGUCCUUAGGUCAUAUGCUUUUGUCUUGUCACAUUUUCCCAGGUUAAUCUCCUAAGCCUGGCUCUAUCUCAGAAUUCUUUCUGUUUCCUGGAUGCCCACACCUUCUAUUGUGCCCUAUCCUAUAGGCCAUAGUAUUUUUUUAAUUGACAAGUGUGUAAUCCAUACAGUACACAAGAUAUUCUCUGUACAAUUCCCUUUUUAGUACAAUAAAAGGUUUUUUCUUUAAAAUAUAAAUUGAAUAUAAUUAUAAAAAUUAUGAAAGAAGAAAAGGGUUACGUUCAAUAAGUCCAAUAAGAGUUACAUUUAAUAAGUCCAGUUUAUUUGUAUUUGGCAUCUCAGGAGGAUGUAUUUUAUUACCAUUCUAUCUUGGUGAGUUCAGAGUUCCACAUCUAAAUUAAUUUCUAUCCCAACUUGUACUGUUAAUCUAAAAACAUCUUUUUAGACCUAGACGCAUCUACUAAAAUCCUAAACAAUUUAAGCUUAAUUGUGAGACUGUAACUAUCUAAUAUUCAACCCCAUCAGGGACCUGAGAAGGAAUAAAUAUUAUCUGAGUAAGUAGGAAGUGCAAGCAGUAGCUUCCAAGACUGAGAAUUGACAGAGACAGCUGACGGUCCCCAAUAUUCUCUAAAACAUUGGAGCAGCAUCUUCAGCCUUCUGGCCCAGAAUAUCUGAUAGAUCUUAUGUGAAGCAGGAAUUAUGAAGGACUUGUUUACCCUGUCUUGAUGGAAGUUGGCAGUCGACUUCCCCGUGUCCAGUUGUCCAGUGUAUACAGUAUUCUAUCUGUAGAUGAAGUUAGGACAUUUUCUUUGCCUGGUGACUAGCUUGCCAGAAUUGAAGCAACUCAUUUCCUAUGCUUGUCAUCUUCCAAAUCUAAUGGGGUCCUGCCAGGAAUUGACAGGUCUCAAUGUAAAAAGUAAUAAUAAUAAAAUAUCUUUAAGUGUCAUAUUCUAUGAGCCUUUGAGGUUUUUGAAGACCAUCUGAUCUAUUUAUAGCAUAUCUGAACAAGCAAACAUUGCCUGUCUCAAACUACUAUUAUCUGUUCAACCCAGGAUGUGUAUGUCUGUGAUAAUUGAGACUAGUAUCUCACAUGACCAUGAAAUUGAUUGACUAUUAAUUUGUAUUACUUAAUUGGAAUUAACUUGCAUUAUCCUAGACAAUUUUCAAUGAAACCUAUCAAAAGGAGUGGGACUAAACAUUUUAUUUUUAAAUGAGUUGCAUAGGAACAAUACCUAUACAGGAGUUGAAGCACACAUUGUGUUGUAACAAAAUCAAUCUUAAAUUUCGUAUCAAUAUAUAAGGACUUAUAUCAAUAAAGACCUUAAACUUGUGUCUAUUAUCUAUAAUCCAUAACAAUGUAAACAAAAAUAGCCUUACUUGAAAAUAGUAAUAGCUCUAAGUUGAAUAGUAAAUUCAAUAAUCUACCCUUUUAUUGUAUUAUUUCUUUUCUUUUUUUUUUUCAGAGCUGGGGACCAAACCCAGGGCCUUGCUCUUGCUAGGCAAGCGCUCUACCACUGAGCUAAAUCCCCAACCCCUAUUGUAUUAGUUCUAUAUGAUAGUUCUACAUUCCCCUUUUUCUUCUCAACCCACUUCCGUUUACCUAAAUGAAAGAAGAAUAGAGAGAAGGAAAGCCAGAGAUCACUGAGUCUAAGUUCAUUUCCUCCCUGUCCAAGACCAUAAUCAUUUGCAAUCAUCCCCUAAAAUGACAACACAUCUAUAACUCAUGAAAUGAUCAAAACCAUCCACCCCAACCUAAGGGCCUAGGACCACAGUCUUCUGAUAGUUGCUUCCUGCUGACCUGUGGAAAAGAAUUCCCUUUUACUACAACAGACCCACCCGAGCACUUAGUUCCCACACCACUAGCAUUUUCUACCCACCCUCACUCACCUGUGGUCUCUCCAUCUCCCUCUCUCCACCCAAACACCAACUCUGCAUCUCCCAGAACAUGAGGUGUGCUGUUUGGAGAUAAAGGUCAUCUCUUGUGGCCAUUUGAAUUGUUCCCCAUACAAUUGUUCCCCAUGGCAGUAUUGUUCUGCCAUUUGAGUAAUUUGGUUCCAAGUUGGUGGCUGUCUGGUGAGAUUAGGAGGUCAAGGUUUCUGGAGGAAGGAUGUCACUUGGGGUCAAGCUGAGGCGGUUCAAAAGUCACGCGCCAUUCCCAUGUGCCUCAGUUUCCUGCUUGCUGCAUGAGAUGUUCCUGAUGCCAGUUGUAAUUCCCUGCUUCGGAUGGUUUCUGAUGGACCUAGAACCAGAAGCCCAAAUGAGCCCUCCCUUCUACAGCUCCCUUCAUUGUGGUGUUAUCACAGACAGAAGAGCAACGGAAUCAUGCUUUAUCUAAGCACCUUCACGGAAACAGCUGGAGUCCAUGGUAAAUGAACUCUCUGGAGCUAGGACCCAGUCGAGUUAACACAGCUUAAUUUCACAAGUUGCUUGGCACCGGUUGACUUUAGAAGACACCAUGCUCAGUGUGAGAAGGGAUAGAAAGAGGAAGCGAGUGGGUUCGGUGGGGCUGCCCUUUGCUGGGCAUUUACCCCAUCAGGAAAUGGAACAUUGUCACUGCCCGACACUUCAGUCAUAACAGAAAGAAUGUCGUGUUUUAAGUACGUUUGUACCAGUGUUUUGCUCAGUGCUUCCCAGGGUUUAUCUCCCACAGAAUCACUAGGUUCUCCCUGGCCAGACCCAGAAGCAGCCCUGCCUGGCCCGGGUCUAUUCCCUCCCCAGGAAAUGAUUUAUUUUUCAAGAUUUAUUUUACUUGUUUAAUUUUUGCAAGUGUUAAUGUUCAUGUGUGAGUGAGUGUGCAUGAGUGUGAAUGUGUGUCUAAAAAAGUGAACCUGACACAUUUUUGGAAAGAGGAAACCUUAAUUAGGGAACUGCCUCCAGCAUAUUGGCCUACAGGCAACUCUGGGGGGGGCAUUUCUUGACUGGCGGUUGAUGUAGGAGGGUCUAACCCACUGUGGGUAGUGCCACCCCUGGACAGGUGUUCCUGGGUGGUAGAAGAAAACAGGCUGAGCAAGCUAGGAGGAGCAAGCCAGGAAACAGCAUCCCUCCAUAGUCUUGCCUCUAGGUUCCUGCCUUGAAUUCCUACCCUGAAUUCCCUUCAUCAUAGACUGUGAACUAUAAGCUGAAAUAAACCCGUUGGCCCACUCCUGCAAGUUGCUUCAGAAGGGCAUGGCAUUUUAUCACAGCAAUAGACACCUAUCUAAGGACAAUUCGCAUGUGUGCACCACGUUUGUUUUAUGCCUAUAGAGCCUACAAGAGGGUAUCUAAUCCCUGAAAACGGAGUCAUAGGCAGCUGCAAACUGCCACCUGUGGGUGCAGUGAGCUGAACUCUGGUCCUCUACAUGAGAAGUAAGUUCUGGGAACUGCUAUGCAAUCUCUCCGGCAACCCUUCUCCAGGAUUUUAAGCAGAGAAGUCAGACACCAGGACCCAACCAAUUUCUGUCCCCUGCUCCAAAGAUUGGUGUGUGUUUCUAGAGGGAUGCAGGAUGGCAAACAUGUCUCUGGUCCUUCAUGAGUCUGAACCCUCAUGGAGGUGGGGUACCUUGUCUUCCUCAUUCCCCUGGAAGCUUGGCUUUCAGAAGGCAAAGCCCAGAAGACUUCUUUUCUCUCUGCUCUGUAGUCUAUCUCAGGCUUGCAGUGAGUGGGCCUCAAUGCCCAGGCCAGACAGGGGGAAUUACAAUGUAUUUCUUUAUUUGUUUUGCUAGUUUGUUUGAGACAGAGUCUCAAUUUGUCUCAUGGGCUGGACUCGAACUUCCUGUGAAGCCCAGGCUGACCUCUCAGUCUUGUAGUGAUCCUCCUGUCUCAGCAUCCAAGGUGCUAGGGCUUCCAGGCAUCAUCAUGCCUGGAGCAAGUCUGCAUCUCUGUGCGCAUGUGUGUAUUUGUGCACAUUUGUAUAAGUGUGCAGGUGCACGAGGCAGCGGAGAUGGAUGCUGGCAUGUUUUCUUUAAAUGCAUUUUCUACUUUAUUACUUUUUUUCUGCAACAGGACAUGCCACUGAACCUGGAGCUUGAUAUUUUGUCUUAGAUUGGCCAGUGGCCCCCUGGGACCUAGCUGCCUUUGUCUUCCCCUCCCCCUUCCUCUCGGCUAGUAGUGCCAGAGUUACAGAAAUGUGUUCUUCCUGGGUACUGAAGAUCUGAAUGCAGGUCCUCAUGUAGUAUCCCAUACCAUGGCUGCACUUUAGCCGCUGAGCCUUUCCCCAGUCCCUAAGCCCAAUCCCUAAGGCGGAACCUUUAAAACGGGAGCUCCCCUCAUCUGCAGCACUCAACCACUAUGCCACUUCAAUGCCUUCUUUUGGUUGUGUAUUCAGUCUCUUCUCCAUCAUAAUUUCCCUCUCCUCCAUCAAGUCAUAAAACACUGAAACUCCUGAUCAUUACUGACUUAAAAGAGCACAAGGCUCCUGCUUUAUAAGGAAAUGUGGCCCAGAUUCCCUUGCAUGCUGCCAUGCACUGGUGCUGUGCCCGCUCUGUCCCCUCCUCCCUCUGUAACCGAGGAGAGUGGGUAACAGGCACUCUGCUUUGCAACUCGGCUGGCAGGAUGCCUGGAGAGAAGCCAGCAGCCUGGGUUCAAUCUCCUGAUAAGUCAUCAAUUUCUUUCUCACCCAAAACAUCUGGUUUGGGCUCCUGAGUUAUGAGCUAAUAUUAAAUGUAAAAGCUUACAGCGUCACAUAUAUAACACUGUUGAUUAGAAACAUCAAGAAAAGUAAUUGACUGGAGGGGACUCGUGUGACCAGCUGGUCAAACAUCUGGAUAGGAUCCCAGGGAUCUGAGCUGAAUUCCCAAGCCGGUCAUUCUUUCUUGGCCAGUAGUACAUGGUAGCAUCUUUAAAGUUUGGAGUCUCCUUUCUCUGAACUGAGUUUCCCACAGUACUUUAUAUACAAUAAUAUGAACGUGUGUUUUGGUUAGCUGAGAUAAGCUAAAUAAAAUAAUUCCAGUUGUUAUCUUCCCACGCAUCCAUUCCUUGGAUAAUGUGGCUGUCCAGUUUUCUUUACCCUUGGCCUAUUACCAACCACAACCACUGGGUGGCAAUGUACGUCCAUGAUUACCACAGCCUAAGGUUUGUGAGGGAGGUGACCAUGGGCUAAGCCCAUCUGGUUUGCAGCUGAACAGCCCAGGGAAGAGUUCCUCGCAGCCUGGGGCUUUGUUUUCAGGAGCUACUCUGGUGACAGCUCCACAAAUCUCCUAGGUCAACUGCAUCCCGGUGACCUCAGUCAGUAACCUGUGACCAGUUCCCUGGAGCUAAGUGCAGCUUUGGGAGACGCUGUAUUCUGUGGGCCAACGGCAGCCUCUCCUCUCACUCUUUUCUGCCAGUGUUGGCUCCUGCCAGAAAACCAUCUCCCCUGGACCAUUAGGGUUUGGAUUUAAGGAAGACUGAUGUAGGGUAGUUGUUUGCAGUGUUGUGUUGAGAAGGACUCUUGAGUCCUCAUGGUUCAGAUUAAAGAGAGCAGGGACAGUGAAUUUUAUUAGCCAUCUCCCUAUCCCCCUGUCUUCCUGCCUGCCUGUCUUCCUUAUGCUCAAUGGGUCCUUGUGAAGAACCAGGUACUUGGCUAAGGGUUUCAAUAUUAAGAUCUUCUUGGUCUCUGUCCUUAUAGAACUGACAAACUAGAUGGAGAGACAGACAAACCCCAGAACAGGGCCACAUAGUGUCAGGCACACACGGCCCUGGGUGUGAAUGAUAGGACUAGGAUGAGGAAGAAAAUGUUCAAAGUCAGGCUGCACACAGAUGCUUCUCACGUUUCCUUUUGCUGUGGUGAUUCUACAGUUGUCAAAAAGCUGCCUUGUCUCAAGCCAGGCAUGAUGGUGUACCCCUGUAGUCCGGGCACUUGGAAAAUAGGAAGCAAAAAGUUGAGGAAUUCAAGGUCAGCCUUGGUUAGGUAGUUGAGGACAACCAGAGUCACAGCAGACCCUCCCUGACUCUAAAAACAAAACAAACAAGCAAAGCCUCUCACCUGCCCUCCCAGGGGUUUACUGGCUGUUGGAAUGGCACAAAGGGACAAGGUAGGUGCCCUGGGUGAGAGACCCUCGCUCCAUCAUAGCAAGAAAUCCCCUGUCCCGGUGAUUGUUUUCCUUGAAACGUAAUCUUGGGGAGUGAAUUGUUGUAAGAUCACGUGAAAGAAAGGCUGAGUCUAUAUUUUUAAGUGAGGUUUAAAAAAAGACACCGUGGGCUUAAAAAAUGGUACGUGUGCAGCCAACUUUUCCAGCCCCUAGAACACUUGGGUCUGUUUUCCUCUCAUGCCGAGGACUGAUUUCUGUCGCCUUUGCAUUUCCAACUUCCUUCCACUCUUUCCUCUGUAUGGUUUUCAUUUCAAAACUAAAUGCUGUGCUAUUUAGUGUGCCACCUUGAUAGUACCCGCCCACCUUUCCAUUCACCCUGCACUCUGAUGCCCUGGGCUUAGACUGGGGCUCAAGAAGUUCCCUCUCUAGCAGGUUCCUGAGUAGUGGUGAAAAUUCAAGGUCCAGCUGCUGGAUGAGGACACCCGCUGCAAAGUACCAGGAAAUAGAAAAUACGAAUGGACCUUGGACAUGAGCUUGUGCUAUGGACCUGGAGUUGGCUGCCUUAUUCUCAAGUACAAAGUAAAAACAGAGGGAGAGAAAAGAAGCAUUGUGUUAUAAUGACUCCAAUUCUGUCCUUCGCCGUGUCAGUAAUAGCUUCAAGAUUCUGGAUGACAGAUCUUCGUUUUGGCCGCUUAACAAUGGCUUGCUGCUUUGAAGCCACAAAAAAGAAUAAGCUAGCAUGUGGAAGAUGAUAAAGUCAGAAGGAGCAGAGCCACCAAGGGCUGUGGACAGUGUUCUCACGUUCCCUUCCCACUCCCUGUGACUGGGACACCUCAGCAGGGACUAGUGCUAAGCUGCAUGAUUUCUGUCCCUCUCUGCCUUUCAUGGAGGCACUAAGGUUUGGCUACAACCUCUUCAGUCGUAGCCAUGUCUGAAAUCUGACAAAGAUGCACAGAGAUCAUUAGAUGUGACAGCAGAGUGGUCUUUGUCACCUCCUGUUCUGGUCUCCAGAAGUGAAUCGGAAGCUCUUUGCCAAACAAGACAUCUCAACACCAUAGAACACCACCAACCAAAAGUAAGUGAACCCAAACCGUCAGCUUCAGGACAGCAUCCUGCUGCAGGGUAACCUUGGUAACCAAAGGCAUUUCUAUCCACCCAGGAACCAAGAUUCUUGUCCCCUUACCCAUUUCCUCCAUGGAAGUUGGAAAGGCACAAAAGUUGGAUUACAAGGCCCCACAUUUAAGCUCAUGAGUGGACUAAUACAGUCUCAUGAAAGGAUAAAUUUAGUUCUCUUACACCAAAUCUCACUCGCUCUUGACAUCCUACUUUCCACCAUGGGAUGAUGUAAGAAGAAUCCCUGUGCCCUAUCAGGGGUCACGUAUUUCAGAACUGUCCAUCCCCCAGUACUGUGAAAUACAAUGAUCUUAUUUCUGCUAUAGUACGACCAUCACUAUAAAAGCUGGCUUUUAACUUAACUGUAUAGCCCAGGAGGGCCCCAAACUGAUGACAGUCUUCUUGCUUCAGCCUCUGAGGUACUGGAAUCAUAGGGGUGAGAUGCCUGUCUGUCCUUCUCUCUGCCUUUCUCUCUGUCUUUCUGCCUGUCUCUGUCUUUCUGUCUGUCUCUGUCUCUCUCUCUGUCUCUCUGUCUCUGUCUCUCUCUCUGUCUCUGUCUCUCUCUCUCUCUCUCUCUCUCUCUCUCUCUCUCUCUCUCUCUCCAUUAUCCAGUCACAGGUGUUCUGUUACAGCAACAGAAAGCACAGCGAGCGACUCCCCAUUUCUGGAUCCUUUAUUUAACCACAUCCAUCUGCCAUGCAGAACACAUAAGGAGCGCAGUUCAUGGCACUGGGGAGUAAGACACAGUCAUCUUGUGCAGAGCCCAGCACACCCCGCUGUAGCACAGGAAGGGCUCCCACACCCAUGGCUGAGCUUUCCCCAAGCAGAACCUUGUCGAAGGCCCUGUUUCAGUCACAUCUGUUUCUCUCUUGCCUCAUCCCCCACAAGCCGCAGAGGCUCUUUCCCUUUUCAAAUAAAAAUAAUACUAGUUGAUAUGGAUUCCAUACCUCUUCAAGCUCUUGAUAGGCCCACAGCUUGCUUAUUCCUCACACCGCUUGUAUAGCGAAUGUUGUUUUCCUUCCUGUUUUACAACAGAAACUCCCAGAAAGCAGAGACACAGGAGUGUAAGGAAGUUUCUGGGAUGGCACAGCUGAUGACAGAGCAAGGACUCAACCCAAGGAGGCUACAGGGCAUCCCUUCUGCACUUGCUGCCCACAUCAUAAGGACUGCAGAGACAAACCUCCUCAUUUUUUUUUUUUUUAGUCCUGUCCCUUAUUUAUUUUGGAGGCAUCCGAAGACGUCAACCCUAAGUCUGCAUGUGAGUGGGACAUCUUGAUGGUUUUGACCUGAGGGCACCUAGAGAAACCGCUGGAACCUCUUACUUUCUCCUAUGUCCCCAAAGACAGGGUACAUAUUUCUCAUGAGAAAUGUCUUUCUUGCACCAUGAAGAGGAAAAGGUUGUCAGUGGAGAUGGGUUGACUGCCAAGAUGAAUCUAUAUAGAUCACUCACUGUUUCUAGCUGCAGUUUGGUUCUGAAUGGCCCUUGAGGGCCUGUGUAAUAGAUAAAGGCUUAGUCCCCAGCUUGGCACAUGGGCAGUGGUAGAAAUCUAUAGAGGUGGGCCUCAGUGAUGUCAAAGGCAUGCCCUCAAAGAGGACUUUGGGCCCCUUCCCUGUCCUCUUCUCCAUUUUCCUAAGGCCCUAUGCCCUUUGAAGGCUCAAAUCAUAGUCAAUGGAUAUCUGGAUGAAAUGGAAAUACAAAGGCCCAGGCCUCUUCCCUUACAGGCAGUGUCUCAACCUCAACUUCAGGGAUUCCUGUUGGCUCACCCAAGGCCUCAGUUGUAAUGGUGUUGUGGCUGAACCUUCCCUCUCUCCCCUCCUGCCUUCCUUACUCUCUUACAGGUAUCUCAUAUGUGAUAGCUUUGGCUUAGGAUUCCCCAACUCAGAGUCUUUUCAGGCAAUCCAACAAGACCUGGUCAUCUUCCUUUCACACAUCAAUUUAAUCAUCAAAGAGUGUCACUUUUCAAAUGCUUUGAGAGUGCCAAAUGCUGUCCUGGUCUCAUCCCAACCUCCAGCGUGCUCUGGGCCCUUGGGUAUAAGGGUGUCUCUGUGGCACAAUUUUGCCUGAAACAAUCUAGUAAUGUAAGUUUUUGUUUGGGGGGGGGAUAUGAAGUAAAAAAAGCCCUAAAGAGGCCUCGUUACGUUGAGUGGAGUCAUUACUAACUGCCAGUGGGACUGUCCAAGCAGAGCAGCAGGAAGCAACCCCAAACUCUAGUUGGUCUGAGAUUUUAAGGGCAAAGCAAGCAAGUGUGAUCUAUACAGAAAGCAAGCAUUGUUUACAGAAGCAGAGCGAUAGCAGUUAGUGGUUGGGCAGUUAAUCUUUGCUCAGGGUCACAGUGUAGAGGAAUUUAGAGGCCAGUUUACUGUAGGAAUUUAAGGUUGGUCUAGAGACCAGUUUUACCCAAGACAGUUUUGGCCUGUAAAGUAUUCUUAAGAAUACUUUCACGAGAUGGUGUAACUCAUGUUAUACCUACUCAUACAUAGGUCAGUAGCCUACUACAAAUUUACACUGAAAUCGUCUGCUUGUUACAUGAGUUGGAUCAAGCAGAGCGUGCAGGUGAUAAAUGGGCAUCUUUGGUGUGAGUGUCAGGACCACAUUCGUGUCUUUCUACCAUGUUAGGAUUUAUGGAAUAACAAAAACUUUACAAGACGUGGUGGUUUCAAAUAGUUUGCUAGCUAUUUGUGCUUUCCUCCCUCACCCCAACCAGGGUGAACACAGGUUCUUUUAUUCCAAUCUUAACUACCGCCAACUCUCAGAUCACACAUUACAUGGCACCCUAUAAAUCUAUCUAGAUCUCUGUGUAUAUGUGGCCUCCAAAAGGCUACAGAAGGUUAGGAGGCCACAGCAGAAUUCAAAAGGGUUCAAAAGAAGGGCUGAUAGAAAUGUAAAUAGUCUGUCGAUAAGAUAACCAACCCAAACCAAUCCUAGGAAGACCUUUCUGCUGUAGUCAGGCUUCCAUGGUGCACAGACAUGAGAGAGAUAUGAGAGUUGAGUCCAGCUGCAAAGGUGAGAGGGCAGGGCCAGAUGGAUAGGCAGGAGAAUAGGCAGAUGGCCAUUGAGUAGCAACAUCAAAGAGGGCUGGGGGAAGAAUCUGGGUGGAAGCCCUAGGGAGAGUCAGAAGUUUGUCCGUCCUUCUUGAGGCACACACUGGGUGGUCAGAUGAUGGGCAGGUGGGGCUAUGCCUGUUUCCAUACUGUGUGCCCACCUCUUUGUGGCAAUCCAGUGGUGGAAUCACACACCCUCAUCUGGUGUGUCUGCUAUGUUUCUAGGCCUGGUUUCCCUGAUAUGAAUUUAAAAUACUCACAUAACCAGCCCACCUGGUAGGAAUGAAUAUAUUCUAAAGAAAUAUUGAGUCUCUCUCUUUGGCUAUUAGAUAAUUGAAACCGUGAACCCCAAGACAUAAGAAUUUUCCCAGGAAUAUUCUCCUGGGACAACCAGAGACAGAGCUCUCUGACAGAGGAAGAACUUAUGUCCUGGAGAAGGAUUUACAAGUUGUGAGCCAACUGUGUGGACAGACUUGGAACCAAGGCAAUGUUGGACAGGGUAAUGGAGAGAAGUUGGUUGAAUGUAUGUGAGACCACAUUUUGGCUGAAUGUUCAACCAUGAAUAUAUCUUGCAUUUAACUUAACCCUUACCCUCAUGUUAGAUCCCAAAGACAGACCUUGAUUAAUUGAUCUCUUUGUCCCUCUUUCUGAUAUGGCCACAUUCAAUAAAUCUCCUUUAAUAACAUCUCCUUUUUGCACUUCACUUUGAAUUAAGCUCUUUUAAUAGCUUAUGAAGGCUGUGUGGCUUUCCUGGCUUGUUGGGGCACAGGUUGUAGAAGCCCUAAGUCUGGUCAUAAUUCUAUAGCCUUAGUUCCCCCUGAAAUAUUUAUAUGGUGGCUUCUUUCUAUUCCAGGAACAAGUAAUUUAUCAGUGUGUGCUACAUGGAUGGCACUGGGAAGAUGAUGUUCUUCUCUUAUCUGCCCUAAUGCAGUCUCCAAAAUGGAGUCUUUCAGGCCAAGAGACUUCGAGGUUACACACCAAGGACUGAGCUUUCAGCAUGCCCACAGCUAGAUGGGAGAAAACUUAUUCACACAACGGUGGAGAUUCAGGAAACACCCAGGUCUCCUCUGCAACACAUUCCACAGAGCAGAUUAGCUCUGCACCUGGCUCCUGGCUCCAAUUCCGCCUUAGGUUCAGUUGGAGAAGGUGACGUUCUCUGUCCAAGGCUGAACCCUCUCUGAAGCCCACUGACCCUUCUGCACUGAACACACAUAAUAAAUCACUUCGGAAUGAUUGAACUGA